UACGAAGGGGGCUAGCGUUGUUCGGAAUUACUGGGCGUAAAGCGCACGUAGGCGGAUAUUUAAGUCAGGGGUGAAAUCCCGGGGCUCAACCCCGGAACUGCCUUUGAUACUGGGUAUCUCGAGUCCGAGAGAGGUGAGUGGAAUUCCGAGUGUAGAGGUAGAAAUUCGUAGAUAUUCGGAGGAACACCAGUGGCGAAGGCGGCUCACGUGGGACGGUAGUUGACGCUGAGACGCGAAAGCGUGGGGAGCAAACAGGG
rnacentral:rRNA from 1 species